UGACGAUCAUGAUGAGUAAGAUCCCCAAAACAAGAGCUGGGUAGCUGUGAACCACCGGAACCACCAGCUGCGUAAGGAGUCGUGUCCAUUUGGCAUAAGGGAAAUUCUGCUGUGCAGAGGAAGCGAUCCGGACCGACACUGACUGGAGUCGGAGAGCGCUGCGCGUACAAGACGCUAAACUCACGAGUGAACAGAACCAAAACACCGUUUCGCCAUCGAUUUGGACAAGAUGCAGCGAAUGCUGACACGGUUCGGGUUCCCCGCCAAUGUCUCGUGAUUUACGAGUACAGUAUUAUAUCGGCUGGGGCGGCGGACACCCAUUUGUGCUGAAAAAAAA